GUCUUUGAUUUAGGGUGUGUUGUUGUAUAGGACUUUGAUUUCAAGAAAAUCAAUGUGAUAAUCUUCCUUGAGCCUUAGACUACAACAAAAUCCAUUUACGUCAUGAGAGGAUUGAUGAAAGAAUGAAGGCUUGCAGGAAUUAGUUUCCAGCAUCAAUAAGGAUGAGCCCCCAAGUGAAAGGAAGAUUGCCAAAUUGUGUGAAUAUGCUGCAAAAAAUCCUUUUCGGAUUCCAAAGGCACGGCAAGCCUAUCUUAUUGGCAAUAAAGCCCUAGCAAAGGAACUUAAUGCUAAAGGGCAAGUGCACAACAUGCAUAUGAAAGCAGUUCAUGGAAAAGCUCAGGAAUCUAUUUAUCGUCAGAGGAUUCAAUCUGAAAAUGAUGGCCGGAAAACUUGUAAUUUUCUUCAUGAGGCUGGACCAUCAAAGGGAUGGAAAAGGAGUAUUUGAGUUCUGACACAACAUGUCAAGCCGAUGAGAAUGAAGAUGUACAACAAGAGUGGUUCACACCAGAGUUCCUAAAUGACAUCAAAUGUUCCGGACUAUUCAAUCACAAGUUGACUUUGAAGCCAGGAGUCGCUGUAAUGCUACUGCGAAACAUAGACCAGACUUCAGGUUUAUGCAACGGGACAAGAUUAAUAAUUAACGAACUUGACAGCAACGUAAUUGGAGCGACGGUAGUGACCGGUAGAAAUAUUGGAGAUAAAGUGUACAUUCCAAGAAUGAACUUGAUCCCUUCAUAUUCAGGAUUUCCAUUUAAGUUCCAACAGAGACAAUUUCCAUUAACAGUAUGCUUUGCAAUGACCAUUAACAAGAGUUAGGGUCAAUCAUUAUCACAUGUAGAAUUUUAUUUGCCAAAAUCAGUGUUCACCCAUGGACAAUUUUAUGUUGCUUUGUCAAGAGUUAAGAGUCGCAGUGGCCUCAGGGUUUUAAUUCUAGACGAAGACGGCAAUCCAAAGUCAUCAACAACAAAUAUCGUGUUUGAAGAAGUUUUUAAUAAUAUUUAGGUAAGAAUAAUAUUCUUUUCAUUUUAA